AGUGAACGCUGGCGGUAGGCCUAACACAUGCAAGUCGAACGGCAGCACAGUAAGAGCUUGCUCUUACGGGUGGCGAGUGGCGGACGGGUGAGGAAUACAUCGGAAUCUACUUUUUCGUGGGGGAUAACGUAGGGAAACUUACGCUAAUACCGCAUACGACCUACGGGUUAAAGCAGGAGAUCUUCGGACUUUGCGCGAUUGAAUGAGCCGAUGUCGGAUUAGCUAGUUGGCGUGGUAAAGGCCCACCAAGGCGACGAUCCGUAGCUGGUCUGAGAGGAUGAUCAGCCACACUGGAACUGAGACACGGUCCAGACUCCUACGGGAGGCAGCAGUGGGGAAUAUUGGACAAUGGGCGCAAGCCUGAUCCAGCCAUACCGCGUGAGUGAAGAAGGCCUUCGGGUUGUAAAGCCCUGUUGUUGGGAAAGAAAAGCAGCAGGUUAAUACCCCGCUGUUCUGACGGUACCCAAAGAAUAAGCACCGGCUAACUUCGUG
rnacentral:rRNA from 1 species